rnacentral:pre_miRNA from 1 species
AGCCUUAUGUAUUCGUGCUGAGAUUUCUUAAUACACCAGACCAAAAGGGCUGAUGAGACUUACAAGAUAACUGAAGCG